UCUCAGAGUUUAAAGUCUCUCUAAUUCAAUACCUUCCUACCUUCCUUCGAGCGAGCUCAUUCUUAACUUGGAUGCAGAAGAACACACAGUGGAAAGCAGCAAAACCAACUUUUCGGACAUUAUCCACGGGCACAGCAGCAGCAACAGAGGAACCGACCAUUUGGACAGUAGCGGAGCACACAUCGGACAACAGCAGCAGAGGAUCCAACCUUUUGGACAGCAGCGGAGUGCGCAUCGGGCAGCAGCAGCAGAGUUCAGUCGUAUAGUAGCGGAGCGUACUUUUGGGACAGCAUCAGCGGAGCACACAUCGAGCAGCAGCAGCAGCGGAGUACUUUUCAAUCGGCGGAAGGAAAAUCGUAACCAGACAGCAAAUAUGAUGUCCGGAUACGACACCUAAUUUGAAUUAUUUUCUAUAGACGUUCAGAUAUUCUCAAAAAAACUUGUCAUUAUAAUAUAAAAUUAUCUCAAAACAUAUUUUUUUAUGACGUUUUUUCACCACUUGUAGGCAAUGGUGAUUUUCACUUACAUAGAGUACUAAUUUGAUUAAGGAAAAAUCAUGUUCAUUCAUAAUUUUCAUUUUAAAAGUAUAUUCAUUCCUUCUGCAAAUCCAUACUGUCAUGCCUCUUCCCCAAUAUCGUCAACGCGAAUAGUUCGUUAGUCGAAAAUACUGAAUAAUUAAACAAACUAAAUGGCGUCACUGGUGGUUCUUUUUUCCACUCCGCUAAACUGUCAUCUCAAACAAAAACAAAUGGAUCAUACAACUGCUAUGAAUACAUUCGACUCGUUUGCUUCCAUCAAUCGGUAAGUGAGAAAGAUGAUUUCUCCCAUCACCACAGUGCGGAUUUCCACUUCUAUCACAGCAGCCAACAACAUCCGUUUUCCUGCUGCAGUAACCUCCAACCCCUGUUGGCAAUGCCGGGGAACAGCAUUAACAGCAGCAGCAGCAGCAGAAUUUGACCAUGGUAUGGUAUUGCGAAGAAUUUCCCCAUUAGAGGUUCCGUGCUUCGCGCACAUUCAAAAAUCCUGUUCAGACACGAAAACUCAACGACAAGGAGGUAUUUAUCAACUUGCUCAGCUGAAUUACCACCCGGAGUAACCCGAAUGCACUGAUUCCGUUGUAUAGUAGAAUGAAAAUAGACGAGGUAAGCGAACGUAAUCGCAUGAUAUUUUAAUGUUCGCAUUUUUAUCCGGAUCAUACAACUGCUAUGAAUACAUUCGACUCAAUCAAUCGGCGAAUGAGAAAGAUGAUUUCCCUCAUCACCACAUUGCUUAUUUCCACUUCUGUCACACCAGCCAACAGCAUCAGCUUUCCCGCAGCAGUAUCCUUUAAGUCCAGGGUGCUAUUCCGGGGAACAGCAUCAACAGCAACAGCAGCAGGACCUGGCCAUAGUAUUUCGGGCAAUUUUCCCCAUCGGAGAUCCCGUGCUUCACGCACAUUGAAGAAUCCUCCUCAGCCACAUAUCUGUGUCAUCAAGGGCAAGGAGGUAUUCAUCAAUGUACUCAGUCGGAUUUGAAUCGUCAAUCCAGACAACCCGGAUGCACCGAUUCCAUUAUAUACAUUAUUAUUUUUAUUAUA